rnacentral:rRNA from 1 species
CAGUAGCCGCGGGAAUACGGAGGAUCCGAGCGUUAUCCGGAUUUAUUGGGUUUAAAGGGUGCGUAGGCGGCCUAUUAAGUCAGGGGUGAAAGACGGUAGCUUAACUAUCGCAGUGCCUUUGAUACUGAUGGGCUUGAAUAUACUUGAGGUAGGCGGAAUGUGACAAGUAGCGGUGAAAUGCAUAGAUAUGUCACAGAACGCCAAUUGCGAAGGCAGCUUACUAAGGUAUGAUUGACGCUGAGGCACGAAAGCGUGGGGAUCAAACAGGAUUAGAUACCCCAGUAGUCCCUGUCUCUUAUAC